rnacentral:rRNA from 1 species
GUGGUGAACUCCACAUACGCAUCCUUUGCUGAGGAUACGGUUAACGGAGCGAAAGCGACGUUCAACCUCAAAAGAAGCAGAGGGGGCUUAGUGGUGGGGUGACUGCGUACCUUUUGUAUAAUGGGUCAGCGACUUAUAUUCUGUAGCAAGGUUAACCGAAUAGGGGAGCCGCAGGGAAACCGAGUCUUAACUGGGCGUUAAGUUGCAGGGUAUAGACCCGAAACCCGGUGAUCUAGCCAUGGGCAGGUUGAAGGUUGGGUAACACUAACUGGAGGACCGAACCGACUAAUGUUGAAAAAUUAGCGGAUGACCUGUGGCUGGGGGUGAAAGGCCAAUCAAACCGGGAGAUAGCUGGUUCUCCCCGAAAGCUAUUUAGGUAGCGCCUCGUGAAUUCAUCUUCGGGGGUAGAGCACUGUUUCGGCUAGGGGGUCAUCCCGACUUACCAACCCGAUGCAAACUGCGAAUACCGGAGAAUGUUAUCACGGGAGACACACGGCGGGUGCUAACGUCCGUCGUGAAGAGGGAAACAACCCAGACCGCCAGCUAAGGUCCCAAAGUCAUGGUUAAGUGGGAAACGAUGUGGGAAGGCCCAGACAGCCAGGAUGUUGGCUUAGAAGCAGCCAUCAUUUAAAGAAAGCGUAAUAGCUCACUGGUCGAGUCGGCCUGCGCGGAAGAUGUAACGGGGCUAAACCAUGCACCGAAGCUGCGGCAGCGAACGUAUCACUUAAAGCGAUUCAGCGGGUUACGAUUGACGGAGCGAAGCGACGUCAAAGCGUAUAGAAAGUCGAGUCGGUUUAAGGAUACGUUCGUUGGGUAGGGGAGCGUUCUGUAAGCCUGUGAAGGUGUGUCGUGAGGCAUGCUGGAGGUAUCAGAAGUGCGAAUGCUGACAUAAGUAACGAUAAUGCGGGUGAAAAACCCGCUCGCCGGAAGACCAAGGGUUCCUGUCCAACGUUAAUCGGGGCAGGGUGAGUCGACCCCUAAGGCGAGGCCGAAAGGCGUAGUCGAUGGGAAACAGGUUAAUAUUCCUGUACUCGGUGUUACUGCGAAGGGGGGACGGAGAAGGCUAUGUUGGCCGGGCGACGGUUGUCCCGGUUUAAGCGUGUAGGUGUGUGGACCAGGCAAAUCCGGUUCACUUUAACACUGAGGCGUGAUGACGAGGCACUACGGUGCUGAAGCAACAAAUGCCCUGCUUCCAGGAAAAGCCUCUAAGCAUCAGGUAACAUCAAAUCGUACCCCAAACCGACACAGGUGGUCAGGUAGAGAAUACCAAGGCGCUUGAGAGAACUCGGGUGAAGGAACUAGGCAAAAUGGUGCCGUAACUUCGGGAGAAGGCACGCUGAUGGUAGGUGAAGUGAUUUACUCAUGGAGCUGAA